UACAGAGGGGGCUAGCGUUGCUCGGAAUCACUGGGCGUAAAGCGCACGUAGGCGGAUUGCUAAGUCAGGGUGAAAUCCUGGAGCUCAACUCCAGAACUGCCUUUGAUACUGGCAACCUUGAGUCCGGGAGAGGUGAGUGGAACUGCGAGUGUAGAGGUGAAAUUCGUAGAUAUCGGAAGGAACAUCAGUGGCGAAAGCGACUUCCUGGACCAGUACCGACGUUCAGGCACGAAAGCGUGGGGAGCAAACAGG
rnacentral:rRNA from 1 species